UACGUAGGGUGCAAGCGUUGUCCGGAAUUAUUGGGCGUAAAGAGCUCGUAGGCGGUCUGUCGCGUCUGGUGUGAAAUUCCAGGGCUUAACCCUGGACCUGCAUCGGGUACGGGCAGACUAGAGUGCGGUAGGGGAGAUCGGAAUUCCUGGUGUAGCGGUGAAAUGCGCAGAUAUCAGGAGGAACACCAAUGGCGAAGGCAGCUCGCUGGGACGGUACUGACGCUGAGACGCGAAAGCGUGGGGAGCAAACAGG
rnacentral:rRNA from 1 species